AAGCAACUACUGCAAUCGUUCAAUAUCAGUAUCGCUAGAGCUUGCAGUGCAUUCAUAUCUGUUGUGAUCAAAACAAAAGUGUUAAAACAUCCAUUAUGUCGUAUCAGCGACUUAUGUUUGUUUUGUAUCUUUGCCAUUCCGUCGUAUUCUGUGUAUCGUAUUCUACACAAUUUCACGGAUCUAACGAGAAUAACGAUAUUCAUUUACUACCUGCCUAUGCCGUCGCCUCGAGAGCCAAUCUUCUCAAUUCGACAAUAUGUAGAAUACAAUUACAAAAUUUUCGAGACGCUGUCGAUCAACGGAUAUUGUGGGGCUUAAAGAUAUUAGAUUCUAGCGGCAGUCCUAAACCAGGUUUCUUGUAUGGAAACAAUUUUUGGCUGGGGAGUCGUAGCCAGUGCCUUGAUAUAACAAACCGGAUUCCUUUUUCCAUCGCAGAAAAGCAAAUAUUAAAUAACACACGUUAUCGCAAUCCACAGAAUGAGUUUCCGCCUUUCGAAGUGAAUUAUAUCGUUGCUCAUAUAAGGCAUAAUAGUACUCUUCAGUACCAUAUAAGUACCAUGAACUUGAGUUUUGUAGAAUCCGAAAAUAUAAUUACGCUCGGCCUUUGUUUGCCCGCGUCUUGUUCCAAGAAUGAUAUAAGCUUCAUUCUGAACAGAAUAUUUCGUGACAGAACUCUUUUAAUUAAUGAUCUGUAUUCCAUGGAUCUCAGCCUAAUCCAGGUAAAAAUUUUAAAGGACGAUCUUUACUGGCUAUUAAGUGGUGCGAUACCCGUUAUAUGUAUUGUUUUAGUACUUAUUUUGAUGAUAAGCAGCACAAUAUACGAUAUAUUCAUAUACCAAAAAUAUUUACUAAAGAAUAAAACUCCUAUUAGUGUGGUUGAGGAGAUAGAAAUGAUAAAUUCACAAAAUGCGGUUGAGGAGAUAAGAAUGACAAAUUUAUCAACACCACGUAAGGAAAGUAGAAUUAGAGAAGUAUUAAUCUGUUUUUCCAUUUAUACUAAUACGAAAAGUAUAUUUAACACGAAAAUAAAUCCCAAUGGGGUACUUGUUAUCCACGGCUUAAAAUUUCUGACCAUGUUCUGGAUAAUCUUGGGCCACACCUUACUUUUUAGGAUGGAUUAUAUCGAUAAUAAAGUAUGGGCUUUGAGAUUAUCCGAGAGUUUCUUCACUCAAGUGCUAACUAACGCGUUCCUGUCGGUCGACACCUUCUUUUGUUUAAGCGGAUUUUUACUGACAUAUACGUAUUUAAAAUAUAAAACGGAGAAAGAAUGGAAUAAGUCAUUUAAUUAUGGGGAGAAGCUGAAGGAGUUCUUUGUCAACGUAAUAAGAAGAUUUAUCCGAUUGACACCGCCUUACAUGGUGAUGCUAGGAAUAGUGCAAUUAAACUCGGCUUGGUACGACAAGACUUCGCAAUUCUACGCUCAAGAGAAAUCGCACGAAACUUGCGCAAAAUAUUGGUGGAGAAAUCUCUUGUACAUCAAUAAUCUGUUCGAUUUCAAUACAAUGUGCAUGUCCUGGAGUUGGUAUCUAGCUUGUGAUAUGCAAUUCUUUAUAAUCGGUCUGGCGCUCUUGAUUUUGUCGUCUAUAUAUUUUUACACAGCUGUUGCCAUACUAAGUAUGCUUCUAAUGGGCUCAAUACUACUAAGCGGUUAUAUUUCGUAUAGUAAUGAAUAUGUUCCGACCCUUGAUGAAUCUACUAGACUUAUAGAGAGCUUAUACGUUCCACCGUGGGUUCGAAUUGGUCCAUAUAUUAUUGGAAUGAUUACAGGAUAUAUUAUAGUGAGAUUAAACAAAAAGUUAAUUUUAAAACGGAACACUGCAAUUUUAUUUUGGACUUUUGGCGCUGCUUGCAAUAUUUCCGUUUUAUUCGGCCUGUACAACCGAAAGAUUUCUAUUUUGUCUACGUCUAUUUACGUUGCUUUGAGCAGAACAGUGUGGGCUAUAGGUAUAGCAUGGAUUGUAAUUGUCUGCUUUACUAAGCACGGAAGCAUCGUUAAGGAACUGUUGUCAUUGAAAAUCUGGAUUCCUGUUAGCAGAUUAACAUACUGUGCUUAUCUUCUAAAUCCUUUUAUCAUAAAUUCAAUUAAUCUGCACAGUGAAACAUCUGCUCAUGUAGAGCUUGUGCCUAUGUUUGCCACAUCUAUAGGAUACUUUGGAAUUAUCUAUUUCUGUGCAUACGGAUUAUCGUUAAUGGCAGAGUUACCGUUUAUCAGACUAAUACAAACAUUCAUCCAAUUUCAAAGGAAAAAUCCAAAGGCUGUAGUAGCACUGCGGAAGUGCAUCUCAAAACAAGGAGAGCGUCUCCCUGCUGAUAAACUAAGAGGGACAGCAGGCUUGAAUGACACGGACGAUGAACCGAUGCAAGCGGAAGCAAGCAUCGACAGGGAGAGGACUCCCGAAGAUGACAAUGACGGGAAUCAGCCACAGUGCAGCAACAACUCAACCAUACUGUUGUGAGAAAGAAUUCGAAUACCGCGCGUUCCGGUUUCUAACCAGGCAGAAACGCGAGAUCGGAUAAACGUCUAUUAGAUGUCUAUUCGACCGUCUAAGAACAGCGUUCCACACACACAUUAUGUUUGAAAAUAAAGAGAGCAAGUAUUCGUCUCGAGGUUGUAACGUGCAGCUCCUAUAAAGCCUCACUGAAGUACAAAUUGAGGAGUUAACCACGGUAGAGUCUACAUAUAACGCCUGUCGCCGCAUUCGACUCACGAGAAGAUCCCUGCGGCGUGGUCGCCUAGCGGCGCCGGCGGCUCCAGCACUCACUUGUUAAAUCCAUUUCAAUCUCUCAAUAUGGCCAAUAUCUUAUCUAUCAAUCACAAUAAAGUUACAUAUUUUAAUUUUUAUUUAUAAUUAUAUUUUCUAUUGUUUACAUUAUUUUAACGAUAUAUUAAAACAAUAUAAGUAUUUUGGAAACUAUAAAGAAUGAUUUUGUCUAUAACAUAGUACUAUAUAUGAUUUCUUUUUCAUUUUUAAAUCAUUUUUGAGUCAUUUCUUAUUAGUGACUUUUAAAUCAUUAUGACUUUUGUGUUUUAUCUGAAUAGAUGUGUGUAAUAGAUAAAAAAAAGAACGUAUAUAUUUCAUGUAUGUCUCAUACGUAUUUAAUUAAUUGAGUGCAUUCAGUACUACCGCUCAAUAAAGUAGUUAAGUAGCAAUUGAAUGUAAUUGGUUCUUACCUUUAGAUCCAACCAAUCACAUUAAACUACUACUUAGCCGUCCAAUGAGAGAUCGUAUUGAAUGCACACAAUUAAUUAAAUAUAUAUGAGAAAUACUGUAAUAAUGUAACAAUAAUGAAAAAGGUAUUUUCAAACUUUUUUUAGUGUUGUAUAAAAUAUAUGUAUUUUAAUAUAUAUAUAUAUAUAAUAAUAAAAUUGACACAUUGAAUAUGAAAUAUAUAACGCAAACAAAAUUUCCUUAAAUUUAUCUCUUCGAAACUUUUAUCGAAAAUCUCGGUUCGCAAUUUCACCGCGUCACAUGUCCUUCCGGCACGUCCUUCUCUUCUAAUAAUCUUACAAACGCUUAAAUCCACUUUGAGAUGGCACGAAAAUACAUACUCGUAUCGUCUAGCGCUAUCAAUUGUCAACCAUUUUCUCGACACACAACCGACAACUACAAUAUUACCAUCCUGUAAAAAAACGAUACUUUGUGCUUGCUCCUAAAAAAUAAUGAAUUUUUAUACUAAUUUUUUAUUUGUUAUUUUUUUGUAUUAAAAUUUAUAAAUUUAACACAAAAAAUAUAAAAAAUUAAUUAAAAACAAAUACAAUUUCAAGGCUUUUAUGAAUAAUAUUUCAAAUAAAACAAGACGAGCUAAGGAGCCGUGCUGGAUGUUGUGCGCCAAAAACAAACAAAUGCCAAAUAAAUAUAAACGUUUCGACCUUUAAUCAUCGGUCUUCUUCAGUACAAGAACUUAGAUGUCAUAUAUGAAAAUGUGACAUUCGCUUACAAAAAUCGUAAUAUGUUGGGAACAUCGUAGUCUAAAUGAUAAUCUUGAGGACCGUGAAUAGAUAUCGUUUUCGGAAUAUGAUCUAAGAGUUCCGAAAACUAUAUCUUGUAAGAGGUUGAUAAGAAUGUCACAACACGAGUCAAACGAGUUUGGCAUUUGUUUGUUUUUGGCGCACAACAUCCAGCACGGCUCCUUAGCUCGUCUUGUUUUAUUUGAAACAAAAAAUAUUGUUAAAUUAUGUACCAUCAUUGUUUUAAUUAAAUUAAUGACACAUUGAGUAUAAGUAACGGCGUCUUACAGGAAUGAUUAAAGCUAAAUCAAAUUGGGAUAUAAUUUGACACUAUUUAUAACAAUGUACUUUGUUCAUUUUUGCGCUUUAGUAAAUUAAUUAAAAUUUAGGUAUUAAAAUUUGUCUUAAAAUAUAUUUGCUUUUUUUGUAAGAUAACAGAAACAUUUUGCUACUAGAAAGAUAAACACUAUAUAUCCCGAUGUCUUUACACCACAGUAUGACUUACUGUUCCACAUCUACAACAAUCUGUCAUGUCCCGCUGUAACGAAUUGAGGCAAAGUCGAAUGAGCUGCAAGUCUCUAAACUUUCUCGUCGUGACCAAGAGAUAUACAAAUUUUAAGUCAAAAAGCUACAAAAAUCAAUAAAAUUUACCAAACAAGUACAUUUUCUUUGUAAAUUUACAUCGAUUUUUAUCAGUAGUGAUUCUCGAAACGCAACUAUAAUUGACCUACUGUUCUAUAUUGUGUGAAUAUCAAUUCUUUUAUGUCUAGUAACACUAUAUGAUCAGGGUGACGAAUUGUUGUCACGCUGUGGUUUCGUAUGUGAGAUCCUUAUUGCGAUGCUUUUUUGCAAUCUACGAUAACUCCUUGGAGCCGUAACCCUGAGUCGUACAAAUUGCCAUACACAAAAUUUUGUUGAUAUUCUUAUACGCUGAGUCGAGUUAUUGCACAAUUAAUAAUUCGUAUUGGUAUGUACGGAAUGAUGAUAAUUCGCAUUGCUAUGUACGGAAUGAUGAUCUUAUCUCCAACGUGAGAAAUCGAUUGAUUGCUGGAUUGUUCAAGCAGCCGAAUAUAUACUCCUCCGUGGUUCACGUCUUCCCACUACUUGGUUAUCUACGAAUAGCGAGCGGCGGGUCCCUCUGCGAGUCCCAGUGGCGGGAUGGUAGGGCAUCAAUGCGCGCGCGUGUGUGUGUGUGAACGGAAGAGUGCAUGUGCCUGUGCGUAAGCUGAACUUGUUUGAUCAUGUACGAACUCGUGCCGUGCACAGCCUUACGCAUAUAGAACUUAUGCGACGAACCAAACACAAUAAUACAAAAUCUUAUGCUGUCUAAAUUUUAUAUUCCUAGAGGUUAUUUUAACGUUAUUUUAGUCUAAAUUUAAUAUUUCUAGAUAUUGUUUUAGACGUAGAUGUCUCCGAGGUCUAAUAGACGUCUAUUCGAUCUUGCGUUUCUGCCUGGGCUGGGUGUACAUACAUGCGAUAUUGAUGUAGUAGUAUGUAAUGAUGUCCUGUUAUUUUGUAAACCGUAGAUGUGUACAAUUGUAAAUCAAAUGUGUGUAAAUCGUUGGUUAAUAGACAAAACUUGAGUAUAGCAUUCCCUUUA